GAUGGCGGCCUAGUGAUAGUGCUUGCUUGUUGACGCUUUCUGGUGUGUGCUUGGACCUCGGUCUUAGUAUCCUGAUCGUUCAUCUAAACGACUAAACUGGAACCGGUACGGACUCAGGGAAUCCGACUGUCUAAUUAAAACAGAGGUGACAGAUGGUCCUUGCGGACGCUGACUGUCACUGAUUUCUGCCCAGUGCUCUGAAUGUUAAAUCGUAGUAAUUCGAGUAAGCGCGGGUAAACGGCGGGAGUAACUAUGACUCUCUUAAGGUAGCCAAAUGCCUCGUCAUUUAAUUGUUGACGCGCAUGAAUGGAUUAACGAGAUUCCUACUGUCCCUAACUACUAUCUAGCGAAACCACAGCCAAGGGAACGGGCUUGGCAAAAAUAGCGGGGAAAGAAGACCCUGUUGAGCUUGACUCUAGUUUGACAUUGUGAAGAGUCAUGAGAGGUGUAGCAUAGGUGGGAGUCUUCGGACGCCAAUGAAAUACCACCACUUUCAUCGACUCUUUACUUAUUCGGUUAAAAGAGAAUUGGUCGCAAGGCCUCUUUUCGAAGUAUUAAGCGGAUCCAUUUUAUGGAACCGUGACUCUCCCCGAAGACAGUGUCAAGCGGGGAGUUUGACUGGGGCGGUACAUCUAUCAAAUCGUAACGUAGGUGUCCUAAGGCGAGCUCAGAGAGGACGGAAACCUCUCGUAGAGCAAAAGGGCAAAAGCUUGCUUGUAUCUUGACUUUCAGUACGAGUACAGACCGCGAAAGCGUGGCCUAUCGAUCCUUUUAAUUUUCCAGAUUAGUUUCUGGUAAGAGGUGUCAGAAAAGUUACCACAGGGAUAACUGGCUUGUGGCAGCCAAGCGUCCAUAGCGACGUUGCUUUUUGAUCCCUGCUGUACCGUACAUCCGCCUUGGCCGU
rnacentral:ncRNA from 1 species